AUACGUAGGGAGCGAGCGUUGUCCGGAAUUACUGGGCGUAAAGGGAGCGUAGGCGGGAGUGCAAGUCAGAUGUGAAAUACAUGGGCUCAACCCAUGGGCGGCAUUUGAAACUGCAUUUCUUGCGUGAAGUAGAGGUAAGCGGAAUUCCUGGGGUAGCGGUGAAAUGCGUAGAUAUCAGGAGGAACACCGGUGGCGAAGGCGGCUUACUGGGCUUUUACUGACGCUGAGGCUCGAAAGCGUGGGGAGCAAACAGGAUUAGAUACCCUGGUAGUCCACGCUGUAAACGAUGAUUACUAGGUGUGGGGGGACUGACCCCUUCCGUGCCGCAGUUAACACAAUAAGUAAUCCACCUGGGGAGUACGGCCGCAAGGUUGAAACUCAAAUGAAUUGACGGGG
rnacentral:rRNA from 1 species